UAUACUAUUUUAUAACCAUGUAACAAAUGCCCCCUUAUAGGUAAACGUUUGUUUUUAACGUGUGCUGAAUGUGCAACAACAGAAAAAUAGGAAACGUGAAACCAGAAGAAAGGAGAAAGUGCAGGAGGAAGUUAGUUAAGUCUUCCCACUAUCUGAAGAAUUCACCAUGACGGCGGAGGACAGCUUUGCCAACGUGCACAACAAGGAAUCAGCGGCGCCGAAGCUCCACCAUAGAAUGAUAGAGGAUCUGGAGUCAUUGGUGAAGGAAGUGAAGCGGUUGAUGAAGGUGAAGACAGAGAAUGAAGCUAGAAUUGAUAAUCUGGUUAAGGAAAUUCAUGUGUUGAGGCAGAGAAUUCAGAUGUUGGAGGAGGAGAAGUCUCUUGCCGAUGGAUGAUAUGGUCAGCUCUGAAUUUUCAUUCAUGUCAAUCAAUGUUGGCAAUUGGCUAAUUGAUUAGACUAGUUUUUCCAGUACUGAUUGUAGUUGCUUCUGAGGUUUGGAUUUAAUAAAUAGUUUAUGUUAUGAAAUUGAGAUUAAAUGUUUGUGUUUUACCAAAGAGGGGUAGCUUAGUUGGCAACGCAGAGUGUGUGGGAAGAACUCUCGGGUUCGCGGCACCCAAAAGGUGACUGGGUACCGGAUAUUUGUAGAAAAAAAAUGUUUGUAUUGAGAUUCUAAUGUUUGUGUUUAGUACUUUUAGUUUGACCCAUAACAAGAGCAUUGUUGCUUUCUCUUUUAUGGUUUUUAAAGCGACUUCAAUAAUUAAGAAGAACCAUGGCUAGAGCUUAUUA